rnacentral:lncRNA from 1 species
AGGGAGAAGCUCGACGUUUAUCGACACCAACAGAGAAGGAGACCAGACAUCAACGGACGACGGAUGAACUGGGAAGACUCGACCAGACGUCAACGGACGAAAGGGAGAAGCUCGACGUUUAUCGACACCAUUUUAUCGACACCAACAGAGAAGGAGACCAGACAUCAACGGACGACGGAUGAACUGGGAAGACUCGACCAGACGUCAACGGACGAAAGGGAGAAGCUCG